rnacentral:lncRNA from 1 species
GAAAGGCAGAUCUUCAAUAGAACGGAGAGUAAGCCUGUGCCCUAAGAGACUGGUCAAAAUGGCCAGGUAAUAGGAGAAACCAUCAAGCUAAUUAACACAAGAGCACAGACAUAUAAACAAACAUGCACACUAACACCCAGGACGGAUAUAUCUAAGUUUACUCAUCGGACCUAAAGUUUUCCAAUCUGGCGUGCUCCAGACUGCCAAGUGACAAAUAACAAAAGAAGCUAUGAGACCUGGGAAGAAGCCUGUGCAAAUGAGGAAUCUUGGAGCUAAAUCUCUGCUAGCUUAGUGGAAAUCCCUUCUGCUUACAAA